rnacentral:lncRNA from 1 species
GAUUCCACACUCUUUCUCAUGAGAGAAGUAUUAUUAUUACCUUCUGCACUCCUUUCAUGCCAGAAUGCUUGAGGAACCACAUCUAGGGCUGAGACUGUGCUCUUGCUUUUUUGAUGGAGUAAGAAAAAGGUUUUGGAAGAACUGGAGGGCUGCUGGUGAUAGAGCUGUGGCUGGAACUACAGUCCCAGGAAGCUGCAGGGGAGAUUCGUCGGGAAAAGAUUUUCCUCAUUCCAGAAAGGAAUCUCCUUUUCCUGUGCACUGCCCCAAGGCAGAGCUCUGGAUGCACCCAAUUUUAUGCUUGACAGCACGUUCCACAACUGCUUUGACUGGGAAAGCUGAACUGCCAAAUGCAAGAACUUCUGAUUUCAUCAUGUUAAAGAACUGA